AUCUUAAGGAUUGAAGAUAAUGCAUUAAAGUGCCUGAGGCUUGUGCCUAUGAAUAAAGUGCCUACUACUGGUUACUGUUGGAGCAGCCAUGUCUACAUGUUCAAGCUGUGCACUGAACAAGACAUCACAUGUAUGGAGGUGCCAUUCACACUUUAGACAUAUGAUGUAUAUCAAUGCAGGUGAGCCCCAGAGCAACACCCUUUACAUCGACCCACACUGGUCCAUGCAGCCAUGUGCUUAUGGGGCAAGCAUGUGGACAGGCAUGAACUAUUGCACAUGUUUGCAAAGCUGUUACCUGCCCUGACUAUACCUAUUCUUUCGCCCCUCCCACCUGCAGACCCAAAUAGAAAUCUGAUACAGUCACCCCUCCCACUUUGGCAGGGAAGGUUCAGUAAAUAGGCUGUUAUUACCAGGAGCCUGCAUGACUCAAGCAAGCAGGUAAGCAGGGGUUCUUGGAUAACAGCUCAGGCUGUGCAGCGUCUUUGCCUGGUUCCUCACAAGCCUUUCAUGCUCUAGCCAAUGGCUUAGGAAUGAUCCAUGGAACUGCCUUUGGGGAGUUUUCAGCUGGAUGGUAGCAAUCUUCCCAGCAUUAACCCCAUCCCCACCCUUCCCACUCUUCUACAAGUGGACCAUCGGCCACAUAAAGGGCCAUAUGCCACACUUUUUCUGGCCCAGCUGUGUAAGCUUGUCCACCUUAGCUACUGCUAAGUGACAUCAGGGUCUAUCACAUUAUCGAUAGCACAGACUUUUGUUUGCUGAUAUCCUAUUAAUUAAUUACACUUAGUAGUGCUUUGUACAAUUUUUAGAUAUUGUUAUCCUUGUGUUCUUUCUACUUCUCAUCUUCUUUCAUUUUUUCCUUUUUUCCCCUAAUAAUCCUCUUUGCCUUUUUUCUUUCUUACUGAGGUUAUGUCUUUCUUAUAACUUUGUCCUUCCCCAUCUUCUCUUCAUUCCUCAUGUCAGUUUUCUCUUCUCAGUCCAUAGCUCUUCUCUUCUCCAUGUUUCUUCUUCUUUCUUGUUCAAUUCCUUCCCCUCUCUCUAUGCUUUCCUUCCCACUCAGUUUUUUCUUUCAUUCAGUUUUAUUUCCUCCUCCACCCUCACAAGCACCUUCUCGAUUUUUCCCUCCCUUAUUCAAUAGCUUAGUUUCUCCCAGGGAUACUGGCGUUAAAGAGUUCUGGUAGAUGGAAAGUCACAAAGGUGGGGGCGCUAGGUGCCCAUUUGGUCCAAGCCAGGUCCUGCAAAUGUCCAUUUCACUUCAAAUCCUUAAAACAAAGACUAAUGGAAUCCAGAGAAGUGGCCAUCAUGGAUCUAGUCUAUAGAAAAUGUGUAAAUUCCCUGUAGCACUGGAGCUGAGAAUUUAGACCUAGCCCAGGUUCAAAUCAAAGUUCAUGGCUCUUUUCCGCUUGAAAUUACAGAGAAGUCAUAGAGUCUCUUUAGGACUAGCCUGAUGGUCUUGACCUUUUUUGAAUGUCAGGGUCUCCUUUGAGAGUGUGCUGAAACUUUUGAAUCCUCUUCUCAGAAGAAUGCACAUGAGCUUAAGAUUUUGCUUACAAAGUUAAGGAGUCCACAGACAUCCUGAAGUCCAUUCAUGGGUUCUCCAGAAGCCCUUUGGCUGGAGGUUGGACCAUAUAAAUUCAAACUCCAAAGGAUGACUUGUCUGCUUGGGCCGGCAAUUGGUGUGAUAAAUUGUAAGGUGGAGAACUGAGGCAAAAUGUUGCGUUUCAAUACUAGAGCUAAAGACUCUGGUAAGAGUUUUCUAGAUUGAGGAGAUAGAUAUUGGUCAGGUUUUGCCUGCUCUAUGAAUUUCCUGCUCAAAGUGAAGACAGGAGCCUUCACAUUUCAUAGUUUGUCCUUUUCUGGCCAUUUGGAAACCUGACUGUUUUGACUGUACAAACUUACAGCUGGGGCCUGAGCAGUGAGCAGAAUGGAAUGUCUAUCAGGACAGCCGUAGAUUUCCACAGCUUCCUGCUUUCGUCAGCUUCAGCUUAACAUCUAUUAUUGUGAAGAGUAGGGUAAGGAGGUCAUUUUCUUUGUCCAAACUUUUUGAUUCAAGGUGGUUUUUUCCAUGUGAAAAAUAAACGUGGGAGGAAAUAAUCCCAUUUAUCCAUUUUGGGGAAUAAUUUAUUUGAGAAGUCUGAACUCUGGGCCCAUUUUAUUGAAUCAGUAUGGCCCUGUGAAGUAUAUUAUGGUUUAAUUUUAGUCAUGGUGCUUAUGCUUUGUUUGUACCCUUGGUGCAAAUUUAGUGUUUUCUAAUUAAUUUGUUUUCUUCUUCUCUCUGCUAAUUAGGUCUUCCAAGUUUAUAAGAAGAAUCAGAUUUCCAAGAGCAAUUUACCCCUUUCUUCAUUCUGUUAGGCAUUAUUUGGAAUGGCUUUUCUUCGAUGAAUUCAAUUAACAGGUGUGAGCCACUGCACCCAGCCUAAAGAGAAUAUUUUCUCAAUUAAAAAUACUAUAGUCUUCAGAAAAGAAUCAAUUAAAGUGAUGAGAAAUUUCAAAUAUAUUAACUACAAACUGCAACUUUGAAAAAUAUUGCAGGCAAUUUUAUUAAGUUCUACAGAGAAAUGUCAGUAACAUGGUAUUAGAAAUAAAUAUAGCUGAUAAACAGAUUAAAGUUUAUGAAUAUAUACCAAGAAUAAUUAUUCUGCUUAUGUAAUUUUAAUUUUGGAAAACCAUUUUGAAAAGUUUGUUACAUGAAAUGUUAUUUUUAAAAGAAUUUCAUAUUUGAAAAUAGUUUGAAUAUAUAAUUUUUAAGUAUUUUCAAUGCAAUUAGUCCAAUUUUCUGAUCAAUAAAUAUCUUUUAAAAGUAUGUAACUUUAUUGUUUUCAUUUCAAAAUGUUUCAGUUUGGAAAUUAUACAAUCAUCCUACAUAACCAGGCAACACAAAUCACAUAAAAAUACGUAUGCCCUCAGCGACACUGUGCUAUCUUCUAACUAGGUUUCCUUCUGUGUGUACUUAAGUGUGUGUGAUAUCAAAAAUUCACGUGAAUGGCUUUAUAUUUGACUUGAUGACCCAGAGUACUAUUGAGCAAGAAAUAGCAUUGCCCUGGGUAUGCUAUUUGAUCAGAAUCUACCUUGUCUGUCAUUCCUUCUUGCAUACUUGCUUUCUGUUUUUCUGAACUUCUCUGACUAUAAGGUUCUAUCUGUUUUCUUUUCUUGCUUGUACUUUGUCAGAAAACUAAUUUGCAGUCAUUCAUACUAGUAUUUACUGAGUGAGGUGAUUCUAACAUCAUGUAGAAACAGUUGAAUCAAAUCCUACCAUACCAUUGAUUAACUGGGUAAACUUUGGUAAAUCACUUAAUGUCUCUAAAUGCGAUGUUCUUAUUUGUGAGACAUGGAUGAUAAUAUCUGCCAUGUACAUUGUUGCAAGUAUUUUAAAAAUGAUAUUUGUAAGCAUUUAAAAAUAUUAUAUUUUAAAAUAUAAUAUAAUUA
rnacentral:lncRNA from 10 species